rnacentral:rRNA from 1 species
ACGGGUGAGUAAUGCUUAGGAAUCUGCCUAUUAGUGGGGGACAACAUCUCGAAAGGGAUGCUAAUACCGCAUACGUCCUACGGGAGAAAGCAGGGGACCUUCGGGCCUUGCGCUAAUAGAUGAGCCUAAGUCGGAUUAGCUAGUUGGUGGGGUAAAGGCCUACCAAGGCGACGAUCUGUAGCGGGUCUGAGAGGAUGAUCCGCCACACUGGGACUGAGACACGGCCCAGACUCCUACGGGAGGCAGCAGUGGGGAAUAUUGGACAAUGGGGGGAACCCUGAUCCAGCCAUGCCGCGUGUGUGAAGAAGGCCUUUUGGUUGUAAAGCACUUUAAGCGAGGAGGAGGCUACCGAGAUUAAUACUCUUGGAUAGUGGACGUUACUCGCAGAAUAAGCACCGGCUAACUCUGUGCCAGCAGCCGCGGUAAUACAGAGGGUGCAAGCGUUAACCGGAUUUACUGGGCGUAAAGCGCGCGUAGGUGGCCAAUUAAGUCAAAUGUGAAAUCCCCGAGCUUAACUUGAGAAUUGCAUUCGAUACUGGUUGGCUAGAGUAUGGGAGAGGAUGGUAGAAUUCCAGUGUAGCGGUGAAA